AGUUUGCACACCAAAGCAGCGGGGGAGGCCGGCCUCCUUACCUUUUUGGUCCUGUUGAGGAAGUUUCUGCCUGGGCUUGGGUAUUCAGUUUGGAAGUUUAAGCAUUUGAGUCUGGAUCUCCACAAACUGGGGAUGCUUGAUUAGAAAGCACAAGAGGGCAUCCUUCUUCAUACCUCUGCUAGGCAAAUUGUAGAACACUCCAUGAUCAAUCCAGCAGAAGACUUCCUUCCUUAGCAACCACAUCCCCACCCCCACCCCCCCAACCCCCAAAAGAGCAGCAGGUCACAAGUGAAUCAGUCACAGAAGGAAGUCAGGGCAGCUUGUGUCUCUGACUGUGGGCCCGGAUUGAAAUAACUCACACCCUUUAAAAACUUAAGCAAGCCAUCUGACCCUGACACGCGUGAUAGUUUAUGACAGAGUCAAUUGAUCAGGAACAAUGAGAAGCAAAGAUUAGCAAGCGAGGCAUAUAGUGUGAUGCCAGCACCCAGCGUGGUGUUCCACAGCCUUGAAUAAAGAAUUGACAAACAAAACAUCAAAAAGAUUCAUAGACACUAUUAUUUACAAUAUGUGUUUCAAAACUAAGAAUGGGCAAUUAAAUAGUCAUUAAAAAAAAAAAAAAAACCUGAGGAAUCAAAGCAGGCCCUACAAUCUGCCUGAAAUGGAGAUUGCCCUGCUUUCUGACUCUCAGUCUGAACUUGACUGCCUGCUGUUGGCUUGGUCUUUGAUGAAAAAUUCCAUUCUGUCUCCCAAACCAUUUUUUCUUAAAGGCCAGGAAAGGGAGAGUGAUUGGCAGGCCUCUGGUAGUGUAGACAGGCUGUAUUCGGUGCUGAUUGCCCAAAAUUGCCCUCAUCCUCUGACUGUGAAGAAAGCUACAGCUUUAUCUUGCUUCGAGUCAGACUCAACCUUAAUCCUAGACUCUGGGCCAGUCACUGAGCCAGAUGAUGCUUUCCCAGGCUGCACCAGGAGUUUCCCUCCCUGGGUUAGAGUGUCUGACAACUACUGGCCAACACAACUGAGGAGAGAGAGUCCAUGUUUAUGAGAAUGUUGUAAAUGCCUCCUUUCUUUCUCCUUGCCCCGAGCAUGAAGAGAUCCUUUUCAACCUAGCUUGUUUCACUAAGUGUACACUUGGCCCAUGUAAAACCAAGGAGUGACACAUUUGGAAGUAGAGUCUAUGGUCUGUCUGGUUUCUAGCAAACAUGGGUUGUUGGAAUUUAGUAUGCAGACAUCUUUUCUCCUCUUUCUGUAGAAUGGCUGCAAGAGCACUUAGUCACAUUUUCUAGACACAAAACUUUUAGUUGUUUUGAAGUCUCUAUUU
rnacentral:lncRNA from 1 species